CCACGCGGUUAAGAAUACCGGUCGGCCUGGGCAAUCUGUGCUGAAGAUGCCAGGAAAACUCCGUAGUGACGCUGCUUUGGAGUCAGACGCCGCAGUGAAAAAAGUGGAGACACUGCGAAAGCAAACCGAGAAGAAAGAGAAAAAAGAGAAGCCAAAAUCUAAUAAGAUUGAAGAGAUAGCAGAAGAGGAAGAAACUAUUUCCCCCAAAGCAAAAAAAGUUAAAAAGAAAGCAGAGCCUUCUGAAGUUGACAUGAAUUCUCCUAAAUCCAAAAAGGCAAAAAAGAAAGAGGAACUAUCUCAAGAUGACAUUUCUCCUAAAACCAAAAGUUUGAGAAAGAAAAAGGAGCCCAUUGAAAAGAAAGCUGUUUCUUCUAAAACCAAAAAAAGUGAUAAAAAAUGAGGAGCCUUCUGAGGAAGAAAUAGAUGCUCCUAAGCCCAAGAAGAUGAAGAAAGAAAAGGAGAUGAAUGGAGAAACUGGAGAGAAAAGCCUCAAACUGAAGAAUGGAUUUCCUCAUUCUGAACCUGACUGUAACCCCAGUGAAGCUGCCAGUGAAGAAAGUAACAGUGAGAUAGAGCAGGAAAUACCUGUGGAACAAAAAGAAGGUGCUUUCUCUAAUUUUCCCAUAUCUGAAGAAACCAUUAAGCUUCUCAAAGGCCGAGGAGUGACCUUCCUGUUUCCUAUACAAGCAAAGACAUUCCAUCAUGUUUACAGCGGGAAGGACUUAAUUGCACAGGCGCGGACAGGAACUGGGAAGACAUUCUCCUUUGCUAUCCCUUUGAUUGAGAAACUUCUUGGGGAACUGCAAGACAGGAAAAGAGGCCGUCCCCCUCAGGUACUGGUUCUUGCACCUACAAGAGAGUUGGCAAAUCAAGUAAGCAAAGACUUCAGUGACAUCACAAAAAAGCUGUCAGUGGCUUGUUUUUAUGGUGGAACUCCCUAUGGAGCUCAAUUUGAACGCAUGAGGAAUGGGAUUGAUAUCUUGGUUGGGACACCAGGUCGUAUCAAAGACCACAUACAGAAUGGCAAACUAGAUCUCACCAAACUUAAGCAUGUUGUCCUGGAUGAAGUUGACCAGAUGUUGGAUAUGGGAUUUGCUGAUCAAGUGGAAGAGAUUUUAAGUGUGGCAUACAAGAAAGAUUCUGAAGAUAAUCCCCAAACAUUGCUUUUUUCUGCAACUUGCCCUCAUUGGGUAUUUAAUGUUGCCAAGAAAUACAUGAAAUCUACAUAUGAACAGGUGGACCUGAUUGGUAAAAAGACUCAGAAAACAGCAAUAACUGUGGAGCAUCUGGCUAUUAAGUGCCACUGGACUCAGAGGGCAGAAGUUAUUGGGGAUGUCAUCCGAGUAUAUGAUGGUCAUCGAGGACGUACUAUCAUCUUUUGUGAAACCAAGAAAGAAGCCCAGGAGCUGUCGCAGAAUUCGGCUAUAAAGCAGGAUGCCCAGUCAUUGCAUGGAGACAUUCCACAGAAACAAAGGGAAAUUACCCUGAAAGGGUUUAGAAAUGGUAGUUUUGGAGUUUUGGUGGCAACCAAUGUCGCUGCACGUGGGUUAGACAUCCCUGAGGUUGAUUUGGUUAUACAAAGCUCUCCACCAAAGGAUGUAGAGUCCUACAUUCAUCGAUCUGGGCGGACAGGCAGAGCUGGAAGGAUGGGGGUGUGCAUCUGCUUUUAUCAGCAUAAGGAAGAAUAUCAAUUGGUACAAGUGGAGCAAAAAGCGGGAAUUAAGUUCAAACGAAUAGGUAUUCCUUCUGCAACAGAAAUAAUAAAAGCUUCCAGCAAAGAUGCCAUCAGGCUUUUGGAUUCCGUGCCUCCCACUGCCAUUAGUCACUUCAAGCAGUCAGCUGAGAAGCUAAUAGAGGAGAAGGGAGCUGUGGAAGCUCUGGCAGCAGCACUGGCCCAUAUUUCAGGUGCCACGUCCGUAGAUCAGCGCUCCUUGAUCAACUCAAAUGUGGGUUUUGUGACAAUGAUUUUGCGGUGCUCAAUUGAAAUGCCAAAUAUUAGUUAUGCUUGGAAAGAAGUUAAAGAGCAGCUGGGCGAGGAGAUUGAUUCCAAAGUGAAGGGAAUGGUUUUUCUCAAAGGAAAGCUGGGUGUUUGCUUUGAUGUACCUACUGCAUCAGUAACAGAAAUACAGGAGAAAUGGCAUGAUUCACGACGCUGGCAACUCUCUGUGGCCACAGAGCAACCAGAGCUUGAAGGACCCCGGGAAGGAUAUGGAGGCUUCAGGGGUCAGCGGGAAGGGAGUCGAGGCUUCAGGGGACAGCGGGACGGAAACAGAAGAUUCAGAGGACAGCGGGAAGGCAACAGAGGCCCCCGAGGACAGCGAUCAGGAGGUGGCAACAACAGUAACAGAUCCCAAGACAAAGGCCAGAAGCGGAGUUUCAGUAAAGCAUUUGGUCGAUAAUUAGAAAUAGAAGAUUGAUAUAGCAAAAAGAGAAUGAUAUUUGGCAGUAUAGAACUGAACAUUAUUUUUCAUGCAAAGUUAAAAGCAUAUUGUGCUUCCUUUUGACCACUUGCUGAGUCCCUGUCUCUUUCAGACACAAGCAAGCUUCAUCUAAUUUAUUUCCUCUGAUCAUUAUCAUUUAUAACUUUAUUUUUACUUCUUCAUCAGUUUUUCCUUUUGAAGGGUAUAUGAAUUCAUUACAUUUUUAUUCUAAUGCAUUAUCUAUAGAUUAGAAGAUAAAAUCAAGCAUGUAUCUGCCUA